UAUCUUAAUCCUCUAUUAAUACUGAGUAAUUCUAUAUUAUUAUAGAAAUUUUUAUGUUAAAACUAGUAACAAGAAGAAGACUCUUCUCUUUAAUGUAAGUGUAAAUCAGAAAGGACAAACCACUGAUAAUUAACGUCACUGAAACCGAAAUAGAAACUCAUCAAGAAAAAUCUACUUUCAUUAACGUUAACCUAACACAAGGACAUUUCAAGAAAGAUUAAAAGAAAAAGAAGGAACUCGGCAAACAUUAACCUCGCCUGUUUACCAAAAACAUCGCCUCUUGACUCUUAUAAGAGGUCCAGCCUGCCCAGUGACCAUGUUCAACGGCCGCGGUAUCCUAACCGUGCGAAGGUAGCGUAAUCACUUGUUCUUUAAAUGUGGACUAGUAUGAAUGGCACCACGAAGGUUAUACUGUCUCCUUUUUCUAAUCAGUGAAACUAAUCUCCCCGUGAAGAAGCGAGGAUAUACCUAUAAGACGAGAAGACCCUAUGGAGCUUUAAACAACACAGCAAUUACCUGCUAAACUAAGAAGUUUCUGAACAUUUUCAAUCUUUUAAGUAAUCUGACUGCAAGUUUUUGGUUGGGGUGACCACGGAGCAUAACACAACCUCCAUGUUGAAAGAAUUCUUUCUAAGCCAAGAACAACCUUUCUAAGCAUCAACAUAUUGACAUCCAUUGACCCAAUACAUUUGACCAACGAACCAAGUUACCCUAGGGAUAACAGCGCAAUCCACUUCAAGAGCUCCUAUCGACAAGUGGGUUUACGACCUCGAUGUUGGAUCAGGGUAUCCAGUGGUGCAGCCGC
rnacentral:rRNA from 1 species